rnacentral:lncRNA from 1 species
AGGAAUGCAGACUUGUCUCAAUUAAUUUUGUUCAAUUAAGGAACAACAAAAAUUUUACAUGUACAGUUAUUCUCAUCCAGUCUCCCUCCUCUUCCUCCCCACUGCCUGCCACUUUUCCAUGCUGAGAUUUGAUAUGGAAAGAUAUCCAUAAAUCUAUCAGCCACAAGGGAAAUAGGUCACCUUUUCACAGGAUUUGCUACAGUGGAUCUAUGAAAUCUUAUUUA